rnacentral:lncRNA from 12 species
AAAAAAAAAAAGAUCUCAGCCCUACUGUACAGGAGGCUUCUGCAAAGCAAAGAGAGUCCUAGCUUCAAAAAGAGAAAAGAAGAACAUAUAAAAGUCCAGCUCCCCUGCGAGCAUUAAAAGGAGGAAAAGGUUUUUAGUUGAGAGAUGCACGAGGGAUGAGAAUCAUGGCAGUCAAACGUCCUCCGCCAGGUAAACAGGAAACAGACUGUACAAAGCUUUUGACCAAAGAUCACUGGAACCUAGAAGCAGGCGGAGCGCGUUCAAACUGGAAGCUUCUUCAGCACUUCGGACAGGCCUAGGCUUCAGAAUAAUCAAAGCUCUGCGGGCAGCAGUUGCCACGUGCAGAGAAGAGAAGCUGCCCCAGGGACGGUGGAGAGGCAUAAUGUGGAGCAACUGUUUGAAGGGAGGAAUGAAAGCACAUCCUGAUGUCUUGGAGCUAAGAGAAGGAAAAGGAUAUUUACAUAAGAUGAGAUGCCAAUAAAUUGGAAAGUUCAAUGUGCUUAGAAAUAGAUAGUGGCUGGGACAAUGAUAAAGGAAUCACAUUGCUACAGCAGAUUGCAUCUUUCAUGUUUAAUUUUCGUUUAAUUCCUGAGGAAGGCAGAGGCUCAGAGGAAUGACUCACCCUCAUCCUCUUCCUUCAGAAACACUCCUGCCGACCCAACGGACGCCAAAUCCUGGAAAUACCCCUAUCUGUUACGCUCCUGAAUUGAUCGUUUUUCAUACGGCAUUUAUUGAUUAGAAGCAA